rnacentral:rRNA from 1 species
GUAGAGUAUACUAGGGCGCUUGAGAGAACCAUGUUGAAGGAACUCGGCAAAAUGACCCCGUAACUUCGGGAGAAGGGGUGCUCUCCCUCCUAUCUUUGGGUUGGGAAAGCGGCACAUACCAGGGGGGAGCGACUGUUUAUUAAAAACACAGGACUCUGCCAAGUGGUAACACGAUGUAUAGAGUCUGACACCUGCCCGGUGCUGGAAGGUU